rnacentral:lncRNA from 1 species
UUGUUUCUCUUCUGUGAUGCAAUACUGAACUAUGGCGAGUCAAGCAAAAGCAAAGAAAACGACAUCUCACAAUUGUACAGUACUUUUUAUAUGCGAAAAUAUAUGUCAUUAGUACACAGUAAAUGUGCAUUCGAGGGAUGCCACGGCAGCAAAAAUAGUGGAAACCAUCUUAACAGAAAAUCUAGCAUCUAUUGGCAACUCUUCUUUUCUUUCUGAGGACAUCUAACACUAUUUCUUACCAUCUAACACUAUUUCUUACUCUUCUUGGUGGAAACAUCCAAGGCCUGCAAAGUCAACCUUGUGCGGGUCGAACUUCGCCAUUUUGUAAGCGACAAGCAGGCAGAGGUGAGGAAUGAUAUCUUGACGGAGAGAUGAAAAGGAGAAAUACUUGAAUAAGUACAAAGAUAAGGUGUGUUAAAAACCUAACAUAACGCAUAUUGAGAACAAAGAAGUAGAAGUAAUGGUAAAAAUGAAAUCGAAAAACUUACAGAAUAAAAGCCCUUCAUGGAUGAAAUAAAGUUGUUUGGACAGAAUGAGAAAACAACAUUAAGUAUGUAUACAAGGCUUUAGUAUAAAAAAUUGCAGAAUAUUCAAAGAACACUCUCAAGCAAGAUCUACAAUUGAAUUCAGAGAAAGCUGUAUACAACUGGGACAUACUCUGGAGGAUGUGAUCAGAUAUAGUUAAACUUGGACGCACUAGAAAUAAUGUAUACACUAGAUACAUAAAGAACAUAAGUGGCAGAUUUUUUAGAGAACAAACUAUAGGGAAACAAAUCAACUCUAGGUAAGUUGUAUCUAGAACUGUAUAGGAUAUGGGGAGUACGGACUUACAACAAUUAGCGAUAAGCGCCCGCCAACCCAGAUAGAAUCAUUUAAAAUUGGUUUCAACUUUUCUCGAAUGGGUUGGUGUGAAAAACUGCAUUUUCUUCGUUCAAGUGGGAAGUAAUAUAGGUGCACAAAUUCACUGGGGCUAUCUAGGGAUCUCACCAAAAUUUACAGGCCACUAUGACUAACUGUCACUUAUGUGUAAAUUUGCAAAGAACUAGCAUUCUUUAUAUGCCAAUCAUUCAAAAAAUCGACGGUAUGAUUUAUGCCAAUUUGUACUAGACUGUUAAGAUCUACAGAUUGAAGGGGAGGAAAACAUUUAUAAGGGUGAUUCAACUCAAAAGUUUCAUUGGGAAGAAAUACGGGUGCGCACAUCCAUAGUAUGUGCUGUUGAAAAUGAGACAAGUAGCUUCAGCCAUGUACUAGCUACCACUAUGAAACAAUUAAGCAAGAACACAACUGCUUAAUUUGCAACUAACACUAUUACAAAACAUAUUUUUUUCCCUAUAAGCAAAACCGAAUUGAUAAAAUACCGAACAAUACACCAUAUGAGUGAGUUCAGCCCUAAAAUAUGAGCUAAAGAUAAAGAGAGAGAGUGUUGCAACAUUUUACCUCCAGCCCGUAGAAUUCAAAAUCAAACCUCUUGUCUGCUAGAUCUGAACCUGGCAUGUACACAUGAAGAAAAACAUCACAUGAUGGAUAAAUUGGCACAGGGAGGAACCUCAAAAAUGAGGGGAAGCAUGAAACUAGAGAGGCGCUAAGGGAUCUGACCAAUCUAUAGAAACUAUCACAAAUCUGCCAACAAAAAAAAAGGGAUGAAUCAAACCAUGUGUUACUUCCUGUGAGAGAGGAAAUAGGAAACCACAAGGGAGGAGAAAAGAAUCACCUCGCCGCCUACAAGCCUAGCGAAGAAGAGAAAGAUCUGCAGGAGAAGAGAAAGAUCAAUAGAAGCAGGAGAAGGAGCAAGAAUAGUGACGAAGAACAUGGUGGAGAAGAAACGGUACCGGUCGCUAGACAAAAGAAAACUGGAGAAAGAGUUGGCC